CACUUCCUGAGCUGAGGAGUCGCCGUGGCCUGGCCGCAGAGCGACAGACUCUGCGUCUCACAGAGGCAUUGCUGAGUCCCCGGGGGAAGGACGCUGUGGAAAGGACGCCCCCCACAGCCGCCACACUUAGGGCUGCUCGCGCGAAUGGCGGGUUAGAGCCCUCAGCGGCCCCCCAAAGGACAGAAAACCUUGACUCAGCAAAAUGAACAAUAUCUACGGACAGGCCCAGAGAGACUGCAAGGCAGAAAUGUCCAGCGCUCCCGCUACCCUAGCUUGGGCCCAGACGAGCCAGGAGGGUACCUUCCGACAACCUCAGCAUCAGUUCCUCCCGAUGCCAAGUGAGGGGUGCUAGGAGCCCCCAGCUGAGCCUGUCUACCCAGGACGGUGGAGGUAAUAGUACACUGUUGUUUCAAGCCACACAGUUCGGGUGGUUUGCUGGCCCACGCUCUUAACUGGGCAUAGGGUCUGUGGUGAAGGCGUGGCGUAGACAUUAUGGCCGACACGAGGAAACAGUGUUUGUAGGGGCUCAUCCAGCUGGAGCAGGUAAGCAAAGCUCACACCAGAACAGUUGCGAGAACCCCACAC
rnacentral:lncRNA from 1 species